rnacentral:rRNA from 1 species
GACGAACCGUGCGAACGUUAUUCGGAAUCACUGGGCUUAAAGGGCGCGUAGGCGGACCGGAAAGUCAGGGGUGAAAGCCUCCAGCCCAACUGGAGAAGCGCCUUUGAUACUGCCGGUCUCGAGGGGUGCAGGGGCAUGCGGAACUCAGGGUGGAGCGGUGAAAUGCGUAGAUAUCCUGAGGAACACCGGUGGCGAAAGCGGCGUGCUGGACACCUUCUGACGCUGAGGCGCGAAAGCCAGGGGAGCGAACGGG